GUUACCAAUAUUCAUUAAAAUGUUUGCCUAAUCCAGAGGUUACACAUAUAUUCACUUUCUUCUAAGAUUUAUUCUUUCACAUGUUAAUAUGUGCUGUAUUUGCUAUUUAUUUCUGAAUGUGAGAUGAAUUAGAAGCCCAGCUGAUUUGCUUAAUUAUGAAAGCCUCUUUCCCGGUGUAUAAAUGCACCGGCCUUUUAACCCCGGCCUGGGCUCCGUUCCUGGCCCACCCCAUGCACUCAUCUGCCGUGGUUUUCAUUCCAAAAGUGUUACUAUUUCUCAGACAAGAGUCCCCUCAAUCUUCUUUUCCACAGUUUUCUUGGUUACUUUUAGACAUGUAUCUUGUUAUAGGAAUUUAAGGUUAUUUUAUGCAAACUACACACUCACACACAGAAACACACUGGAAUUCUAUUUGGAAUUACAUUAGAGUUUUAUCUUAAUCUGUGGAGAAUUGAUAUUUUCUGUUUUAUUAUGUCUUUCCAACCAAUAACCAAUAACCAAUAACCUCUGUAAAUAGUCGUGUCUUCCUUUCCUUCCUCCACGAACCUUUAAUGAUUCUUCACUAGGAUCCCGGCAGACUCGGGUCCCAGGUCCCCGUUGCUGCUCCCUGACCUCCUCUCCAUGGGCGCUCAUUCCUGGGUCGGGGAGGAGCUGAGAUGCUUGGGGGGCUGGCACCCCGCUCCCCCUUCAGGGCGGGCAGCCUUCCCUCAGGGGAACUUCGCUCCCGGCAGGGCCAGCAAGCUGAGGCCUCCCUCACCCUCUCCUUCAAGCAUCCGCUGUGCUCAGAGCUGGGGACACACAGGUGCGUACACAUGGUUUUUUCCUUGCAAGAAAUAGUUCAACGUUUAGGCAAAGACAAAAGACAAGAGACGGAUGAUCCCACGGCACGCGACACGCACGGAGGAAGCGACUUCUACGGGCCUCUGUGCUGGCAGCUGGGGACACAGGACCCUCGAGAAUGGUUGGUCAACCGGUCCAACAGGACACGGCACAUCUGGCUGAAGUCACUCUGCAUCCCCCAUGGGACGUCUGCUGUGCGUGGGCACAGGACCAACCCACGUGGACAGUCCUUCCCUCAAGAUUCCUGGGCCCGGAAAUGCCAUCUCCCCUCCUCCAUCAGCCUUGACUCUUCCGGGCACUGGGCCCCCGAGAGGGAAGAGGCAGCAGGUGCAUCGUGGGGGGAUGGGCAGGGCAGAGGCUGUGUGGUCACGACCUGGUGGCACUGAGUCUGGAGCCUCGGGGCCCACCGAUCCCCUCUCUUCCCUGAAACAGAGCUCUCCCCAUGGCCGCUCAUGAAUCCAGCAGCUCUUUUUAAGUAACAUGUUUGGAAAUGGUCUGAGAAGUCAGUAAUCAAGAGCCUUUUUGGCAGAAAUGCAUAAUGAAUGGCCGGUCGGCAGAUCUGGAGAAAAUAUGGUCGACAAAGAGACAAAGAAUGGGCGAACAGCAAGAGGUGAGAUAGAUGCUGGAACCGGUAGGUACCUCUGGACGAGGCGGGGAGGUGUGCUUGUUUCGGUGCCGCUAGACACUUUGUAAACCACCCUUCACAUUAAAAUGUUCAGGAAAUGAAAGUUAAACGGAACUGGGGUAAUCUGUUUCUUCCUCAAUUGACAGUCUUCGUGGGGACCCGGUACCCACUUUCCUGGUGGUUUCUCCUACCCUGCAUCCGGCUCUCUGGAUGUGUGUGCCAGGUGGAGGUGUGUGCCAGGUAUCAGCUCAGGUGUGAGCCACACCCUGAUGAGCACCUGCUCCAGGGUCAGGCCGGGACAGACUCUGGGGUGGGGGGAUGACAGACCAAGCAGGUGACCAGAGCUCACAGGAGCGCUGGAAUCAAGGCUGCCUGGCCCAGGGCUCGGGAGGGCCACCCAGAAGCAGGUACUUAAAGGUCAGGUUAUUUAUAUCUGUGGUUAGCAGGCCCCAAGCAGGUGGAGCAUCGAAGAUCUGUGCGGCUGCCCGGGGGUGUGUGCACAGGCUGUAACUGGAGGUCAUGUUCGGUCAGAUGGACUGGACAGGAGAAACCGUUCUUGAUAGCGGAAAGCACAGGAAAAGGCCCGCAAGAAAGCACAAGGAAGAAGGGAGACACAGCGGGCUCUGAAGGCGGCUGCACAAAUCAUCACACACAUCACGGAGCUGGGCAGGCUUCCACUGGGGAAACUCUGCUCGCUUCCUUGAGGCUCUGACUUCCUUCCAGAAGGAAGGAGAUGCUACUAGAUCAGUUGCUAUUCAUUAUUGUUAUAAAUCAAUGAAUCGUUUCAUAUCAUUAAUAGAAAUCAAUGUAUUAAAUUCAUUUCCUGUUUUCAUCACGUGUCUUCCUGUGAACUCUUCCAGCCAAACAUAAAUAAAACCAUAGAGAAUAAAUAGUAUAAAAACA